rnacentral:rRNA from 1 species
UACGGAGGGUGCGAGCGUUAUCCGGAAUUACUGGGUUUAAAGGGUGCGUAGGCGGCGCAGUAAGUCAGGAGUGAAAGUUUGCGGCUCAACCGUAAAAUUGCUUUUGAUACUGCUGUGCUAGAAUUAGGAUGAGGUCAGCGGAAUGUGGCAUGUAGCGGUGAAAUGCAUAGAUAUGCCAUAGAACACCAAUUGCGAAGGCAGCUGGCUAGACCUAUAUUGACGCUGAGGCACGAAAAGCGUGGGGGAGCGAAACAGG